rnacentral:misc_RNA from 1 species
UCGAGACCCGCAAAGCAGACCGCGAACACGUGUUUAACCACAUCGGGCCCGCGGCGCGGGGGGAAGCCUCCCGUCGCGAUCCCAUCCCCGCCGGCGUGCGCGAGAGCGUUCCGUCGUGCGGGCUAACGAACCCCGGCGCGGUAUGCGCCAAGGAAAACAAAACGUAGCGUCCGCCUCCCGACGCCCCGUUCGCGGGGCGCGCGGGGGGACGGGACGUCUAUCGAAUGU